GCAAGCAGCCAUAUCACUCUGUAACUCACAACCGACAACCCACUGAAGCUAAGCAGGUGUGUGCCUGGUCAGUACCUGGAUGGAAGACCUCAUGGGAAAAACUAAGGCUGCUGGUG
rnacentral:rRNA from 1 species